CACGUAGGGGCGCGAGCGUUGUCCGGAAUUAUUGGGCGUAAAGAGCUCGUAGGCGGUCUGUCGCGUCGGAUGUGAAAACCCAGGGCUCAACCCUGGGCCUGCAUUCGAUACGGGCAGACUAGAGUGACGGCAGGGGAGACUGGAAUUCCUGGUGUAGCGGUGAAAUGCGCAGAUAGUCAGGAGGAACACCGGUGGCGAAGGCGGGUCUCUGGGCCGUAACUGACGCUGAGGAGCGAAAGCGUGGGGAGCGAACAGG
rnacentral:rRNA from 1 species